rnacentral:rRNA from 1 species
UACGUAGGUGACUAGCGUUGUCCGGAUUUACUGGGCGUAAAGAGCGCGCAGGCGGUCAUUCAAGUCGAGUGUGAAAGCCCCCGGCUCAACUGGGGAGGGUCAUUCGAUACUGAUCGACUCGAAGGCAGGAGAGGGAAGCGGAAUUCCCGGUGUAGUGGUGAAAUGCGUAGAUAUCUGGAGGAACACCGGUGGCGAAGGCGGCAUCCUGGACCAACACUGACACUGAUGAGCGAAAGCCAGGGGAGCAAACGGG